CGUGGUUCUGAUAUUUUUCACCCAAAUUACAACCAGGCCAGAAGAGCACUGAAACAGGUUAAAGAUGAAGAUCCUGGGCUUCAGUGAAGUUGCUGUCAGAAGUGUUGCACUGGGAAAACUGCUUUUGGCUGGUUAUUGGCAGUGCUUUCAGAAAAAGCAGCUUUCUACUCCUCUGAAGUACUGAUCCAGAAAUGCCCUUGAUCAGUAUUCUGGACACCAGAUUAAUAUUAAGGCAUCUUAGAUGUCCCCCAGAGGAUUGCUGGAUCUAGCAAUGGUCAGACACAGAGACAGAAACAUCCAGGGCAGCCAACCAAAUCACAAAGGAGAAACCACCUGUGGGAAAUCUCACUGUGAGCACAGUGGGCAUUUGAGCUGCUGCUCCUGGAGAUGAGCAUUGACAGCAGCUUGUGCUGAAUUAGCUGCAAGUGAAGCUGCAGAGCUGCUCCACAGCCAAACUCCCCGUGGCUGUCAGCAGCGUCCACCCCACCACGUGCAGCGCCUGGGGACCUUCCAGGAUCAGCAGGCUGUGAAGUGGCUUUGCACAGCUGUGGGAAAUGGAAAAAUAAAAACUUCCAGAGGCACUGAAGGGUUUGGUCUGCAGCCUUAAAAGAAGCUUGGAUUGAUG